rnacentral:misc_RNA from 1 species
GAUGAAGAACGCAGCGAAAUGCGAUAAGUAGUGUGAAUUGCAGAAUUCAGUGAAUCAUCGAAUCUUUGAACGCACAUUGCGCCCGCUGGUAUUCCGGCGGGCAUGCCUGUUCGAGCGUCAUUUCAACCCUCAAGCCCCCGGGUUUGGUGUUGGGGAUCGGCUCUGCCCUUCUGGGCGGUGCCGCCCCCGAAAUACAUUGGCGGUCUCGCUGCAGCCUCCUUUGCGUAGUAGCUAACACCUCGCAACUGGAACGCGGCGCGGCCAUGCCGUAAAACCCCAACUUCUGAAUGUUGACCUCGGAUCAGGUAGGAAUACCCGCUGAACUUAAGCAUAUCAAUAAGCGGAGGA